AACGUAGGAGACAAACGUUAUCCGGAGUUACUGGGCGUAAAGGGCGUGUAGGUGGUAGUGUAAGUCUGGCGUGAAAUUUUUCGGCUUAACCGGGAAAGGUCGUCGGAUACUGCACAACUAGAGGACGGUAGAGGCGUGUGGAAUUCCGGGUGUAGUGGUGAAAUGCGUAGAGAUCCGGAGGAACACCAGUGGCGAAGGCGACACGCUGGGCCGUACCUGACGCUAAAGCGCGACAGCAUGGGGAGCAAACGGG
rnacentral:rRNA from 1 species